ACUCCUGUCCCCUCUCGUGUCCCCUCUCGUGUUCCCCGCUCCCGCCGGGCGCCCCGGGCGGGGCCAAGGGUUCCGCCCCCCCGCCCCACUCGUGUUUGAAUGGAGGGCGUGGGACCGCCCCGUGACGUGGCACGGUGCCAUUGGCCGGGCGGGACGAUGAUGUCACCGCCGUGGGCGGGGCGCUCCGUUCCGGCGCGGCGUGGCCAUGGACCGGCGGCGGGACCCGGGCGAGCAGGAUUUCUGUCAGGUCUUGGUGCUUCAUUAGCUGCCUCACUAAUUGGGGCAGUGAGGAGCAAGUUUCUGAUUCCAUGAUUUCUGACUGACCUGUCGCAGAAAUGGUCAUCUCAGUGUGCACCCGCUUCCUGGCAAAUCCAGAUGUCACCUGGAAAUGCUAAGUGAGGAUUUCCAGCCUUGACUCCACGGGAGACAGCCUUCUCAAAAUGGAACUGACCUUGGCAGAAGAGCAGCUGUGAAGGUAAGCAGAACAAAAACACAGGACAGGAAAAAGCAUCACACUCCUCCCAUCUUUGCCAAAAGCUGUGGUGUUUGAGCAGCCAAAGCCAGGAGGCUUCAGCACCAGGGCUCUGCCCUGGAGGGCUCCUGGUCCUGCCCAUGCUGUGGGGGAGAAGAACACCAACUCAUAGCCGUUCAGCCCUGACAGUCCCCUGCAGCGAGAGCUCAUCACACAUCCACAGAGGCAAGUCCAGCAUCUGAAAGAAAAACCAGAAGAAAAAGGUUCUUGUUCCAGAGGUGCUCUGACCCCAGAGCCAUACAGGGUCUGUAGCCUUGAUAAAUGGGAAUGAAAUUGGCCCAGUCUGUCAGGAAAGCAAAAACAUCCUGGGGUUUGUUUGGCCAAAGACGGACCAUGAAGAUGUCUGUACUUCCAGUGGGGAUGUGACAUGGAAAUCCCAAGUGAGGAUUUCCAGCCUUGACUCCAGGAGACACAGGCUUCAGAAAAUGGAAGUCACCUUGGCAGAAUCGCAGCUGUGAAGGGGAGCAGCACUGAAAUACAGGACAGGAAAAAGCAUCACACUCCUCCCAUCUUUGCCAAAAGCUGUGGUGUUUGAGCAGCCAAAGCCAGGAGGCUUCAGCACCAGGGCUCUGCCCUGGAGGGCUCCUGGUCUUGCCCGUGCUGUGGGGUCAGCAGGAACAAGAGGAAAUGGGGUGCCAGAGCCGUGUGCCAUCAGGCCGUGUUUCCCUCUGAGGACAGAGAGUCCGGGCUGAGGUGAGAUGGGCACGAGAG